UGGAAACACAAAACGGUAUAUUAUACAUCAAUGGUUGAGAUCGAAUUAGGUAGAUCCAAAGGUGUGGAUUGUUUUAUCAGACUGACGGCCCGACAUAUCUUCGGCCCGAAACUUCGAUGCCUAGUUAAUUCAAAGGAUAAAAAAAAAAUUAGGGUUAGGGUUCUCGAGUUUUGGUGGACAACAUGAACUUGGCCGGUGAUACCCAGAAGAAGAAUCGGAUUCAGGUUUCAAACACCAAGAAGCCAUUGCUCUUCUACGUCCAUCUCGCUAAGAUUUUGACAUCAAGCUCGGGUUUAGAAGCUCAAGAACAGAGCUACAUAUACUGGAUGGUAAUUUUUGUACCUGCGAACUUUUUUUUUGUGUAAGGAUCAUAGGAGCAGAUUAUAUUGUUUUUACACGCUCUAUCAUUGCAUUUGCGUUCUCUUGCUCUCCCUAAGAAGAAUGCAUCAUGUUAUGCUUGUUGUUUGCAUGUGGAAUCCAAGUUGUAGUUUAAGAGAUACCAAGUGAUGAUGAUUAUGUAAUUAUCCCAAAGAAAAUGUAUAUGCAUUUGUAAUUACAAUUGGAUUUUUGGUU